CCCUUAGAUGUCCGGGGCUGCACGCGCGCUACACUGAAUGAAUCAGCGUGCUAGAAAACCUUGUUUGACAUGGCUAGGUAACCCAUUGAAAAUCAUUCGUGAUUGGGAUCGGGACUUGCAAAUGUGUCCCUUGAACGAGGAAUUCCCAGUAAGUGCGGGUCAUCAGCUCGCGUUGAUUACGUCCCUGCCCUUUGUACACACCGCCCGUCGCUCCUACCGAUUGAAUGGUCCGGUGAAGCGUUCGGACCGUGGCCUUUGGACGGUUCGCCGUCUGUUGGCUGCGGGAAGUUCGUUAAACCUUAUCAUUUAGAGGAAGGAGAAGUCGUAACA
rnacentral:rRNA from 1 species